UGUGGGCGCUAUUAAAACAAGACUGAAAGUUUGGGGUGGUUCAUUCACACGCGCUGCUCUUGCUAUGCUAGAAACUCAUUUGUGGUUUUUAAUCUUUUGAAAUCGCUGCGAGAUUUCAUUGUAUAUAAAGCUCAAUGGAUUCCGGUGCGCUGCGUUGCAUCUAUUGGAUUACUCUAUUUGUCGCCACACUUAUUAAUGGAAUGAACGCGGAUAAAAUUUUGUCAGGUUCAUCCCACUGUGAGAAAUCUGAAUUCUGGAAUAGAGAUGUCGCAGAGUGUGUACCUUGUUCUGAAUGCAAACAGUACCCGAAAACUCCAUCAUGUGACACAUGCCCACCCAUAGAGCCUUCAGAUUCCUGGAGGGUGGCAGCAAUUACCAGUUUGUCUGUCCUGGCAGCCGUAAUUGUUUUCGGAGCCUUGAUCAUAGGAGUUCUAGUACAUCAUUGCAGGUCAAGGAGGACCUUACGUGAGCCGAUUGAAGAGACAACAGGACCUCUCUAUCCAGUAUAGGUUCUUCAAGAGCUCAAGGAACUCAAGCUGACAGCAUAUGAAAAUGGACUGUUACUCCAGUGUAUUAACGCUCCAGUUGGUGGAACACUAGCUGGUACCUCAACCACAGAGUGUUCUGAGUAGCAUCUGAUUUGUCUAAUUUAUUACAUUAGUAGGCUAUGUCAUGCAUAGCGAAUGGCUAUGCACAAAAGCUGCACUGAGACAUUGUCGUUCACUGUGCAUAAUGGGUUUGCAAACCUUAGGUGCUAAGUGACGUCUUGUGGACAGCAUGAUAGCAUAUUUUAUAUUCCAUUGUUGGAACCCUUAAAAUGCUACACUGUUUUUGCAGAAUUUAGUUUGAGGGCGCAACUUAUGGCGCAUUGUAAAUGUAUUUCCACUUGAAUAUCUAUUAGUUAGGUUUGUGAACAUGAUAAACACAAAUAACCUUAACCUGUUUAAUAUAGUAGAAUUAGUCAUAGAUGAACCUUUUUACACAAUUA